rnacentral:lncRNA from 10 species
GCAAGGCAGAGUUAGUGUUGGCUCUGUGCUCCUCUUGCCUCUGAAGAAUGUUAGGCUUGAAGAAUGCAGAGCACUGCACAUGCUAUAAUUCUGUCCUGUGACUUCUGGAUGCUUUAGUUUUCACAAGGGCACAGAGCAAUCUUAGGCAUUCUCACAAUCCUCAGAUCUGUGAGAACACCAUGAGUAAGAGACCUGGUCACCUACCUGAACCAGGUCUUAACCAGAGCCACAAGAUAGCAUCCCACACUGCAGUUCAUGGCUUUCAUAUUCAGAAAAUGUGCACUGAGGCUUCUCACCAGAGGGGCAGCCUGUGGGAAUGGCACUGCAUCAACAGAGAGCAAGAAGGGGAGACGCACCAAAGCCAGGGCGGCCCACAUGGAUGGCACUGGCUCAGCAAACAAAAACAACAACAAAAAAACAAGCAAGCACCAAGAAGUCUUCUUCAUACGUACACAGAGGAAUCAUCUGUCUUAAAAAAAUGAUAGUGGCAAUAACUUCAUGCAAGGUUCCCCACCACCACUAUGCCCUUAAGUCUAUUAUUCAGACCCUAGUGUGAGUGAUUUCAAUCCAAUCAAAAUCCACCAGUACAGGUACCCCAGAGUGGACAUUUUGUUGAUGUGGAGGAAAGGACCACUUCGGAACAAGAGAUAGUGUGAGCAUCAUCGUAGAUGCCAACUCAGAGUGAAAAUGGCAAUUUUGGACAAAGGACUAAGGAUGGAAUAGUGGCAUUUGUGACCUGAUGAAAGAGGAGUGAAAGACAAUGCAGAAGAGGGGAUUCCACAGAGGGAGGUAUCCUUAUCCAGUCCUCACCUUGGAGGGGAGAAUGGAGUGUCAGGGAAGGGAAGGGAGGUGAGCCACUGCCCUCUUGCCUUGCAAUUCCUCUUCCCCAGCUGCUUCGGUUUAAUACCCAUGACUUUCUCCAUUUGAAUACACGUCUAUUCCUUGCAAAUCCUAAGUGUCUCCUAUAAAAUAAAACUACUUGGAGAAUUAAUACACUUGAGAAAUCAAUGCUUUUCUCUCUUCACAAAGAAAAAUACUGACAACAUCUGAAGGGAAAGAAGGGAAAGUAAGACCACGUAUGGGCAUGCAGUUUCAGAAACGGUGUCUUGGAAGAAGUCUGCUGGAAUACCUGUCAGGAAAAUUCUGCUGGCUGACACAGAGUUAAAGCUAAAAGGGAAAGGAAGUCAUGAUCUCUGAACAGUAGCCAUUCAAUUAUUUUUUAAUCACAGUAAAACAAAACAAAACAAAAAUGGCCAAUAAAAAUAAUUCAUGCCUUUAUGUUCUUACCCCCAAAAAAAACGAAUGAAUCCAUUCAUUCCUGACUCAUAUAUGUAUCACAUUGCCUAAUAACAUGUACCAGACACUGUGAUAAAGGCUUUACAUGUGCAAUCUUAUUUAUCCUCUUAAUAGUCUAAUGAGACAGGUACUGUCAUUAAUAUCUAAUUUUACAGAUGAGAGAACUGAGGUAAAGUUUAUUUAUUUGCUACACAGCUAGUCAGGGUAUUUUCAGAAUUUGAAAUCAGGCAGUUUAACUUAAGGCAUGGGCCUUCAAUUGUUCCUGUGUAUUCUUCCUUUGUAACUGCCAUCUUUCUUUGAUCCCUAAAUAUCUUUUUUUUUUUUUUUUUUUUUUUUUUUUUUUUUUUUUUUUUUGAGACAAGGUCUUGCUCUGUCACCCAGGCGCUGGAGUGCAGCGGCAAGAUCAUGGCUCACUGCAGCCUCAACCUCCCAGGCUCAGGUGAUCCUUUCACCUCAGCCUCCUGAGUAGCUGGAAAAACAGACAUGUACCACCAUGCCUGGCUAAUUUUUGUAUGUUUUGUAGAGAUGGGAGUGUCACCAUGUUGCCCAGGCUGGUCUUGAACUCCUGGGCUCAAGCAAUCCAUCCGCCUCAGCCUAAAUCUUGAUCUCUGCCAAUAGAGCCAAACGUUUUUAAAAAGGCAAAAAUCUCUCUAUAGGUAAAAGUUUUAUUUCAAUGAUAAUAUUCUCAAACAUUUCUUAAGAAAUGUCUUCAUUUUCUAAGAAAUCCAAUUACUGUCUCAUACUUCCAGGAUUCUCCAAUUUUUUUUUUCCAGGAUAUUAUAGUCCAUCAAUUUCCAUACGACUCCACACACAGUGGUGGAAACCAGGGUGGUUUGGGGACAUGAAAGAAACCUCAGCCACAAAUCAGAGUUGGUCGGAUCAGGCAGUCAGAUCUGUCUCAGCAAGUCUUUGGUUGGGAUAGUCAAAUUCCAGGCAUUUUUAUCUCUAUUUUCAAUGAAGCUUGCAUUAUUUUUGCUUCAUUUAUGCACAUCACUCAGAUGGAUCACAAAACCAUUUAAGCUCAUUCCUUUUCAAUUAGCUAUUAUUGAACUCCAGCUGACUCCAUUCAGAAAUGCUGCUUUCAGUGAGGCUGGAUUUGGGACCCGGUCCUCGGUUUUAGCCCUUGUGUAUGUCUCCCUGUGAAAAGGGAACAUCACCCCUGCUUGUGUUGAAAAGUAGCACUGCUUCUUGGAAACACAAGAUGCUGCUCCUUUUCAGGCAUUUGCAGGAAGAAAUUGCUCUCCUGCAGUAUUCAUGUAACCACUAAACCCACAGCCACAGGGUGUCCCCGGGGCUUACCUUUUCUGUUCAGUGUUUGAUGCCCUGUGGUUUUUCUCUCACAGAGACCACAGUCCAGUCAUCAUGGCACACAUCGUCUUCAACGUAUUGCUCAAAGGCCUUUCUCAGAGAGUGAGGUCUGCGAU